UAAAGUUGUUCUAGUUUUGUAACUAAAAUGGUUUGGCAGUGAGCGAUUCUUAUUAGGGGAAUAUGCAUAGUGAAGGAUGGUCCACCUAUUAGUUUACUCUUUUUAUGUUGGUGUAUGUCUGGUUUGAUAUUAUUGUUGAAUAAUUUAAGUUUGUGUAGUUUUAGUUAAGCUAAGUCUAUGUGCUGCUUAUUGGAGUUUUUGUGUGUUACAUUAAUAAGGGUGUUAUUGUAAGAUGAUGUGAUUUAGGACU
rnacentral:rRNA from 1 species